CAGCUUACCUCUCUCAUCAGCCUCAGACCUCGUUGUACCCUACAGCUACCUCCUAUGAGCCAGCAGUGUACCACCCUGUUAACAUCCAUGUGAACCCCUUUCAGCCUGAGGUUACACCACCAGCAGGGCCGAUACCUGCUCCAUGUCCAUCAGUCGGCCCAGGCGUUCUCUCCUCAGACUCUGAGCCGAGGUUUGAGACGAAAGGACUGGCCCUUUCC